ACCAUUCUUGAGGCUAAAGGUAAGCUUUUAACUCCCGAAUUUGUUUUUCGAUCCGUAGAACAUAAUCUAAUAGGUAAUUAUCGAUGGGGAGGGUUUUGAUCUAGAUUCUAUGGUGGAAACAACCCUAUUUUGGGUACUUGGGAUCAUGGGUAUGAUCUAGGGUUGUUAGAAUUGUUAGUAAUCUGAGUAAUUACUGAUUGUUUAUUGAUUCCCGUGUUAUUAUGAUUGUUUGUAGACCAAGAACAAGCGGAACGAAUUCGAAAAGGGAAGGAUCAAGUUUCUAAGGGUUUCAAGCUUGUUUCGAGGUAGGUGAUGGUUGUGAUUUCAUGUUGGUGUGAUAUAUGUUUGUAAUUGCUCAUUAUAAUGCAUGUAUGUAUGCGAAUGUUGUAUUAUUGAUCACCCUAAUCGUAAAAUGAGGAUAAUUGAAUAAUUAUAUGCCAUGAAUCACCUCUUGUUGUAUGAUUGUGAGAUUAUACAUUGUGAUUGUGGUUUGUUGAAUGGAUCGAGGGUUGCGUUCCAACACAUUAACAUGGAUCGGUUGUCACGUUUCGGCAUAAAUAUGGGAUCGGUUGCCACGUUCCAACAUAAACAUUGGAUCGGGUANN
rnacentral:lncRNA from 1 species